AGAAUAGUGUUUUCAAGGAUUGGUGCCAGAAAAAUUGGGCAUGUGCAAAUAAAUAAACCUCAGCUAAAACCUAACACUUAAAACAAAAAUUAACUCAAAUUAUUGAUCCAAGUGUAAACUGUGAAACUGUAGAAGAAAA